rnacentral:lncRNA from 1 species
GCGGGGGCAAAUGUGGAUUCAUGACCGAGUCAACUCAGUGGAAAACCGUGUUUUUUUUCUUGUUUCUUCUAUGAUUGGUGACAAUUCUCACAUUUGACUCUUCAGUCAAUCAAUCAGGGGUGUGUGUGACUCCCAGACCAAGUACACCAAUACACCACAACUUACAUUAUUCUUCAAUUUACUUUACUUUUCUUACUUAUUUUUCUGCAAAUCUCACCCCACUUAAGUGUUGAUGAUGCAAACACUUUAAUGAUUCACCCAAUGGUUGCAUAAAUUUAUCAGCUAUAACGAAUUUGAAUGAUUGGAAGAAUUUUUUUGAAGCAUGAACUAUGCGAGUUCCACUAAAAGUAACAUUUGAAUGAUUAUGGUACGAGAAUUUCACGAGGAGUGUUGGCAAUGGAGAACCGUUCAAAAAGUGGAAAUUAUCAAAUGCAGGAGUGGAGAUGAAGAGAUCAGAGAUGGCCCACUGCGGCGAAUUUCUGGAGAAAUGUGCCGCACACAACAUACU